rnacentral:rRNA from 1 species
GUACUCCUACGGGGCGCAGCAGUGGGGGAUAUUGCACAAUGGGGGGAACCCUGAUGCAGCGACGCCGCGUGGGUGAAGGAGUGCUUCGGCAUGUAAAGCCCUAUCGGCAGGGAAGAAGCAAGACGAUACCUGACUAAGAAGCCCCGGCUAACUACGUGCCAGCAGCCGCGGUAAUACGUAGGGGGCGAGCGUUAUCCGGAUUCACUGGGUGUAAAGGGAGCGUAGACGGCCAUGCAAGCCAGGGGUGAAAGCCCGGGGCCCAACCCCGGGACUGCCCUUGGAACUGCAUGGCUGGGGUGCGGGGG